AACGUAGGAGCCUAGCGUUAUCCGAAUUUACUGGGCGUAAAGCGCGUGCAGGCGGCUUCGUAAGUGGAUUGUGAAAUCUCCCGGCUCAACUGGGAGGGGACGGUCCAGACUGCGAGGCUGGAGGCAGGGAGAGGGAGGUGGAAUUCCCGGUGUAGUGGUGAAAUGCGUAGAGAUCGGGAGGAACACCAGUGGCGAAAGCGGCCUCCUGGCCCUGACCUGACGCUGAGACGCGAAAGCUAGGGGAGCGAACGGGAUUAGAAACCCCGGUAGUCCUAGCCGUAAACGAUGUCGACUGGGCGGCGGUGGGGUAAAAGCCAUCGGUGCCGCAGCUAACGCGCUAAGUCGACCGCCUGGGGACUACGGCCGCAAGGUUAAA
rnacentral:rRNA from 1 species